rnacentral:rRNA from 1 species
GUUAUAUGGUCAAGCGAAUAAGCGCACACGGUGGAUGCCUAGGCGGUCAGAGGCGAUGAAGGACGUGGUAGCCUGCGAAAGUGUCGGGGAGCUGGCAACAAGCUUUGAUCCGGCAAUAUCCGAAUGGGGAAACCCACUGCUUCGGCAGUAUCCUGCAGUGAAUUCAUAGCUGCUGGAAGCGAACCCGGUGAACUGAAAUAUCUAAGUAACCGGAGGAAAAGAAAUCAACCGAGAUUCCCUAAGUAGUGACGAGCGAACGGGGAGCAGCCCUUAAGCUGGAAUGGCUUUAGAAAAACAAUCUGGAAAGAUUGGCCAUAGAAGGUGAUAGCCCUGUAUUUAAAAGGGCCACUCCAGUGAAGACGAGUAGGGCGGGGCACGUGAAACCCUGUCUGAAUAUGGGGGGACCAUCCUCCAAGGCUAAAUACUCCUGACCGACCGAUAGUGAACCAGUACCGUGAGGGAAAGGUGAAAAAGAACCCGGAGAGGGGAGUGAAAUAGAUCCUGAAACCGUGUGCGUACAAGCAGUAGGAGCUCGCAAGAGUGACUGCGUACUUUUGUAUAAUGGGUCAGCGACUUACUGUUCGUGGCAAGCUUAACCGUAUAGGGGAGGCGAAGGGAAACCGAGUCUGAUAAGGGCGCAUAGUCGCGGGCAGUAGACCCGAAACCGGGUGAUCUAGUCAUGGCCAGGGUGAAGGUGCCGUAACAGGUACUGGAGGCCCGAACCCACGUCUGUUGCAAAAGACGGGGAUGAGCUGUGAUUAGGAGUGAAAAGCUAAUCGAACCCGGAGAUAGCUGGUUCUCCUCGAAAGCUAUUUAGGUAGCGCCUCAUAUGUAUCCUCUCGGGGGUAGAGCACUGUUAUGGCGUAGGGGGUCAUCGCGACUUACCAAACCAUUGCAAACUCCGAAUACCGAGACGGACUGUAUGGGAGACACACGGCGGGUGCUAACGUCCGUCGUGAAAAGGGAAACAACCCAGACCCACAGCUAAGGUCCCAAAUUCACUGCUAAGUGGAAAACGAUGUGGAAAGGCAUAGACAGCCAGGAGGUUGGCUUAGAAGCAGCCACCCUUUAAAGAAAGCGUAAUAGCUCACUGGUCGAGUCGGUCUGCGCGGAAGAUUUAACGGGGCUAAGCAGUGAACCGAAGCUUGGGGUGCAUAAAACUUGUUUUAUGCGCGGUAGAGGAGCGUUCCGUAAGCCUGCGAAGGUGGAUUGAGAAGUCUGCUGGAGGUAUCGGAAGUGCGAAUGCUGACAUGAGUAACGAUAAUGCGGGUGAAAAGCCCGCACGCCGAAAGCCCAAGGUUUCCUUGCGCAACGUUAAUCGACGCAGGGUUAGUCGGUCCCUAAGGCGAGGGCGAAAGCCGUAGUCGAUGGGAAGCAGGUUAAUAUUCCUGCACCUCGCGUGAGUGCGAUGGAGGGACGGAGAAGGUUAGGUGUACCGGGCGUUGGUUGUCCCGGGGAAAGGCGGUAGGUUUGGAUCUUUGGCAAAUCCGGGAUCCUUUAAGACCGAGCACCGAGACGAGCCUUUAUGGCGAAGUCACUGAUACCACGCUUCCAGGAAAAGCUCCUAAGCUUCAGCUCACGAAGACCGUACCGUAAACCGACACAGGUGGGUAGGAUGAGAAUUCUCAGGCGCUUGAGAGAACUCGGGUGAAGGAACUAGGCAACAUGGCACCGUAACUUCGGGAGAAGGUGCACCCUUUUUGGUGGCUCGUGCGAGCUAUAGCUGAAGAGGGUCGCAGAAACCAGGCCGCUGCGACUGUUUAUCAAAAACACAGCACUCUGCAAACACGAAAGUGGACGUAUAGGGUGUGACGCCUGCCCGGUGCUGAAGGUUAAUUGAUGGGGUCAGCCGCAAGGCGAAGCUCUUGAUCGAAGCCCCAGUAAACGGCGGCCGUAACUAUAACGGUCCUAAGGUAGCGAAAUUCCUUGUCGGGUAAGUUCCGACCUGCACGAAUGGCGUAACGACAGCGGCGCUGUCUCCACCCGAGACUCAGUGAAAUUGAAAUCGCUGUGAAGAUGCAGCGUUCCCGUGGCAAGACGGAAAGACCCCGUGAACCUUUACUAUAGCUUUACACUGAACGUUGAGUUUCGUCUGUGUAGGAUAGGUGGGAGGCUAUGAAAACUGUGGCGCUAGCUGCAGUGGAGCCAUCCUUGAAAUACCACCCUGUCGUGCUUGACGUUCUUAACCUAGGUCCGUUAUCCGGAUCAGGGACCGUGUAUGGUGGGGUAGUUUGACUGGGGCGGUUCUCCUCCUAAAGAGUAACGGAGGGGAGCACGAAGGUACGCUCAGCGCGGUCGGACAUCGCGCACUUGUGUGCAAAGGCAUAAGCCGUGCUUUGACUGCAAGAUCGACGGAUCAAGCAGGUACGAAAGUAGGUCUUAGUGAUCCGGUGGUUCUGUAUG